rnacentral:tRNA from 1 species
GGACGUGGCUCAGUGGUAGAGCACCUACCUGGCAUGUAUGAGGCUUGGGUUCCAUCCGUAGCUCCA